rnacentral:rRNA from 1 species
UAUUGCACAAUGGGCGCAAGCCUGAUGCAGCCAUGCCGCGUGUAUGAAGAAGGCCUUCGGGUUGUAAAGUACUUUCAGCGAGGAGGAAGGCGUUAAGGUUAAUAACCUUGGCGAUUGACGUUACUCGCAGAAGAAGCACCGGCUAACUCCGUGCCAGCAGCCGCGGUAAUACGGAGGGUGCAAGCGUUAAUCGGAAUUACUGG